AGUGAACGCUGGCGGUAGGCCUAACACAUGCAAGUCGAACGGCAGCACAGUAAGAGCUUGCUCUUACGGGUGGCGAGUGGCGGACGGGUGAGGAAUACAUCGGCAUCUACUUUUUCGUGGGGGAUAACGUAGGGAAACUUACGCUAAUACCGCAUACGACCUACGGAUGAAAGCAGGGGAUCUUCGGACCUUGCGCGAUUGAAUGAGCCGAUGUCGGAUUAGCUAGUUGGCAGGGUAAAGGCCCACCAAGGCGACGAUCCGUAGCUGGUCUGAGAGGAUGAUCAGCCACACUGGAACUGAGACACGGUCCAGACUCCUACGGGAGGCAGCAGUGGGGAAUAUUGGACAAUGGGCGCAAGCCUGAUCCAGCCAUACCGCGUGGGUGAAGAAGGCCUUCGGGUUGUAAAGCCCUUUUGUUGGGAAAGAAAAGCAGCAGGUUAAUACCCCGCUGUUCUGACGGUACCCAAAGAAUAAGCACCGGCUAACUUCGUG
rnacentral:rRNA from 1 species